GAUAGCCUACGGGAGGCAGCAGUGGGGGAUAUUGCACAAUGGGGGGAACCCUGAUGCAGCGACGCCGCGUGGGCGAUGGAGUACUUCGGUAUGUAAAGCCCUAUCAGCAGGGAAGAAAAUGACGGUACCUGACUAAGAAGCCCCGGCUAAAUACGUGCCAGCAGCCGCGGUAAUACGUAUGGGGCAAGCGUUAUCCGGAUUUACUGGGUGUAAAGGGAGUGCAGGCGGCUUGGCAAGUCUGAUGUGAAAGGCUGGGGCUCAACCCCAGGACUGCAUUGGAAACUGUUAGGCUGGAGUGUCGGGGG
rnacentral:rRNA from 1 species